rnacentral:rRNA from 1 species
AGGCUUAACACAUGCAAGUCGAGCGGGCAUAGCAAUAUGUCAGCGGCAGACGGGUGAGUAACGCGUGGGAACGUACCUUUUGGUUCGGAACAACUGAGGGAAACUUCAGCUAAUACCGGAUAAGCCCUUACGGGGAAAGAUUUAUCGCCGAAAGAUCGGCCCGCGUCUGAUUAGCUAGUUGGUGAGGUAAUGGCUCACCAAGGCGACGAUCAGUAGCUGGUCUGAGAGGAUGAUCAGCCACAUUGGGACUGAGACACGGCCCAAACUCCUACGGGAGGCAGCAGUGGGGAAUAUUGGACAAUGGGCGCAAGCCUGAUCCAGCCAUGCCGCGUGAGUGAUGAAGGCCCUAGGGUUGUAAAGCUCUUUUGUGCGGGAAGAUAAUGACGGUACCGCAAGAAUAAGCCCCGGCUAACUUCGUGCCAGCAGCCGCGGUAAUACGAAGGGGGCUAGCCGUUGCUCGGAAUCACUGGGCGUAAAGGGUGCGUAGGCGGGUCUUUAAGUCAGGGGUGAAAUCCUGGAGCUCAACUCCA